rnacentral:rRNA from 1 species
GGAAAAGAAACCAACAGGGAUUGCCUCAGUAACGGCGAGUGAAGCGGCAAAAGCUCAAAUUUUAAAGCUGGCACCUCCGGUGUCCGCGUUGUAAUUUUGUGAGGCAUCUCCGGGUGGGGCGCCGGCCUAAGUUCCUUGGAACAGGACGUCAUAGAGGGUGAGAAUCCCGUGCUUGGCUGGCUGUCCCCGUCCAUGUGAGGUGUCUUCGACGAGUCGAGUUGUUUGGGAAUGCAGCUCAAAAUGGGUGGUAAAUUUCAUCUAAAGCUAAAUAUUGGUGGGAGACCGAUAGCGCACAAGUAGAGUGAUCGAAAGAUGAAAAGCACUUUGAAAAUAGAGUUAAAAAGUACGUGAAAUUGUUGAAAGGGAAGCGCUUGAGACCAGACUUCGGUGGGGAGUGAUCAGCCGUCCUUCUGGGCGGUGCACUUGCCCCCCUCCGGGCCAGCAUCGGUUGGGACGGCGGGAUAAAGGUCCCGGGAAUGUGGCUCCUCUCGGGGAGUGUUAUAGCCCGGGUGAAUGCCGCCAGCCCCGACCGAGGACCGCGCCUUCGGGCUAGGAUGCUUGGCAUAAUGGUCUUCAGCGACCCGU